rnacentral:rRNA from 1 species
UACGUAGGCAGCGAGCGUUUGUUCGGAAUUACUGGGCGUAAAGGGCGCGUAGGCGGUCCUGAUCGUCGGAUGUGAAAGGCCUGGGCUCAACCUGGGAAUGGCAUCCGAUACGGCGGGACUGGAGUGUGGGAGAGGUUGGUGGAAUUCCCGGUGUAGCGGUGAAAUGCGCAGAUAUCGGGAAGAACACCCGUGGCGAAGGCGGCUCUCUGGGACGGUACUGACGCUGAGACGCGAAAGCGUGGGGAGCGAACAGG